AUUGAACGCUGGCGGCAGGCCUAACACAUGCAAGUCGAACGGUAACAGGAAGCAGCUUGCUGCUUCGCUGACGAGUGGCGGACGGGUGAGUAAUGUCUGGGAAACUGCCCGAUGGAGGGGGAUAACUACUGGAAACGGUAGCUAAUACCGCAUAACGUCGGAAGACCAAAGAGGGGGACCUUCGGGCCUCUUGCCAUCGGAUGUGCCCAGAUGGGAUUAGCUUGUUGGUGAGGUAACGGCUCACCAAGGCGACGAUCCCUAGCUGGUCUGAGAGGAUGACCAGCCACACUGGAACUGAGACACGGUCCAGACUCCUACGGGAGGCAGCAGUGGGGAAUAUUGCACAAUGGGCGCAAGCCUGAUGCAGCCAUGCCGCGUGUAUGAAGAAGGCCUUCGGUUUUUUUUUCUACUUUCAGCGGGGAGGAAGGGGAUGUGGUUAAUAAGCGAGGGUCAUUGACGUUACCCGCAGAAGAAGCACCGGCUAACUCCGUGCCAGCAGCCGCGGUAAUACGGAGGGUGCAAGCGUUAAUCGGAAUUACUGGGCGUAAAGCGCACGCAGGCGGUCUGUCAAGUCGGAUGUGAAAUCCCCGGGCUCAACCUGGGAACUGCAUUCGAAACUGGCAGGCUUGAGUCUCGUAGAGGGGGGUAGAAUUCCAGGUGUAGCGGUGAAAUGCGUAGAGAUCUGGAGGAAUACCGGUGGCGAAAGGCGGCCCCCUGGACGAAGACUGACGCUCAGGUGCGAAAGCGUGGGGAGCAAACAGGAUUAGAUACCUGGUAGUCCACGCCGUAAACGAUGUCUAUUUGGAGGUUGUGCCCUUGAGGCGUGGCUUCCGGAGCUAACGCGUUAAAUAGACCGCCUGGGGAGUACGGCCGCAAGGUUAAAACUCAAAUGAAUUGACGGGGGCCCGCACAAGCGGUGGAGCAUGUGGUUUAAUUCGAUGCAACGCGAAGAACCUUACCUGGUCUUGACAUCCACAGAAUUUCUCAGAGAUGAGGAAGUGCCUUCGGGAACUGUGAGACAGGUGCUGCAUGGCUGUCGUCAGCUCGUGUUGUGAAAUGUUGGGUUAAGUCCCGCAACGAGCGCAACCCUUAUCCUUUGUUGCCAGCGGUCCGGCCGGGAACUCAAAGGAGACUGCCAGUGAUAAACUGGAGGAAGGUGGGGAUGACGUCAAGUCAUCAUGGCCCUUACGACCAGGGCUACACACGUGCUACAAUGGCAUAUACAAAGAGAAGCGACCUCGCGAGAGCAAGCGGACCUCAUAAAGUAUGUCGUAGUCCGGAUUGGAGUCUGCAACUCGACUCCAUGAAGUCGGAAUCGCUAGUAAUCGUGGAUCAGAAUGCCACGGUGAAUACGUUCCCGGGCCUUGUACACACCGCCCGUCACACCAUGGGAGUGGGUUGCAAAAGAAGUAGGUAGCUUAACCUUCGGGAGGGCGCUUACCACUUUGUGAUUCAUGACUGGGGUG
rnacentral:rRNA from 1 species